rnacentral:rRNA from 1 species
UCGACGGCAGCACGGGAGCAAUCCUGGUGGCGAGUGGCGAACGGGUGAGUAAUGUAUCGGAACGUACCUUUCAGUGGGGGAUAACGUAGCGAAAGUUACGCUAAUACCGCAUAUUCUGUGAGCAGGAAAGCAGGGGAUCGCAAGACCUUGCGCUGAUUGAGCGGCCGAUAUCAGAUUAGCUAGUUGGUGAGGUAAAGGCUCACCAAGGCGACGAUCUGUAGCGGGUCUGAGAGGAUGAUCCGCCACACUGGAACUGAGACACGGUCCAGACUCCUACGGGAGGCAGCAGUGGGGAAUUUUGGACAAUGGGGGCAACCCUGAUCCAGCCAUGCCGCGUGAGUGAAGAAGGCCUUCGGGUUGUAAAGCUCUUUCAGCCGGGAAGAAAUCACAUGGGUUAAUACCCUGUGUGGAUGACGGUACCGGAAUAAGAAGCACCGGCUAACUACGUGCCAGCAGCCGCGGUAAUACGUAGGGUGCGAGCGUUAAUCGGAAUUACUGGGCGUAAAGCGUGCGCAGGCGGUUUGUUAAGAUAGGCGUGAAAUCCCCGGGCUCAACCUGGGAACUGCGUUUAUGACUGGCAGGCUAGAGUAUGGCAGAGGGGGGUGGAAUUCCACGUGUAGCAGUGAAAUGCGUAGAGAUGUGGAGGAACACCGAUGGCGAAGGCAGCCCCCUGGGCCAAUACUGACGCUCA